UGAAAUCAUGACAUCAUGAUGCAAAUCCAGUGUGGUGUGUGUUCAUCUAGUACUUAUGAGCUGCUGAUCUGAGGGGAGCAGUAGAGUCUCAUCUUAACUCUCACCAUGAAGAUCACACUCUCCUUAUUACUGCUACUGCUCACCUUCAGCAGUGUGAAAUGUGAGAGUAUGGAAUCAUUAGAAACUGCAGUUCAGAUAAAACCUGGAGAAACUCUGAGUCUCUCCUGUAGAGGAUCUGGAUUUAGCUUUAGCAGCUUCUACCUGCACUGGAUCAGACAACAGACUGGAAAACCACUGGAGUGGAUGGGAAGUGAUGACAACGACUACGCAGCAUCUUUUCAAGGCCGGAUUCAGAUCACCAGCGAUAAUUCCAAAAGCAUGGUGUAUCUGAAACUGUCUGGUGUGACAGCAGAGGAUUCAGCUGUGUAUUACUGCGCUCGACAAGCACAGUGAUACAGAAUAGUGGAGACACCGUACAAAAA